rnacentral:rRNA from 1 species
UACGUAGGGUGCGAGCGUUGUCCGGAAUUAUUGGGCGUAAAGAGCGCGUAGGCGGUGCUGUAAGUCUGUAGUGAAAUCUCUGGGCUCAACUCAGAGUCUGCUAUAGAAACUGCAGUGCUGGAGUGUGGGAGAGGUGAGUGGAAUUCCGGUGUAGCGGUCGAAAUGCGUAGAUAUCGGGAGGAACACCUGUGGCGAAAGGCGGCUCACUGGACCACACUAGACGCUGAGGCGCGAAAGCUAGGGAG